rnacentral:rRNA from 1 species
UACAGAGGUCUCAAGCGUUGUUCGGAUUCAUUGGGCGUAAAGGGUGCGUAGGUGGCAGGGUAAGUCGGAUGUGAAAUCCCGGGGCUCAACCUCGGAACUGCAUUCGAUACUGCUUUGCUUGAGUACUGGAGAGGAGAGUGGAAUUUACGGUGUAGCAGUGAAAUGCGUAGAUAUCGUAAGGAAGACCAGUGGCGAAGGCGGAUCUCUGGACAGUUACUGACACUGAGGCACGAAGGCCAGGGGAGCAAACGGG